UACGUAGGGCGCAAGCGUUGUCCGGGAUUAUUGGGCGUAAAGAGCUCGUAGGCGGCCUGUUAUGUCUGCUGUGAAAUCCCGGGGCUUAACCCCGGGCGUGCAGUGGAUACGGGCAGGCUGGAGGCAGGCAGGGGAGAACGGAAUUCCUGGUGUAGCGGUGAAAUGCGCAGAUAUCAGGAGGAACACCGGUGGCGAAGGCGGUUCUCUGGGCCUGUACUGACGCUGAGGAGCGAAAGCGUGGGGAGCGAACAGG
rnacentral:rRNA from 1 species